GACGAACGCUGGCGGCGUGCUUAACACAUGCAAGUCGAACGGAAAGGCCCUGCUUUUGUGGGGUGCUCGAGUGGCGAACGGGUGAGUAACACGUGAGUAACCUGCCCUUGACUUUGGGAUAACUUCAGGAAACUGGGGCUAAUACCGGAUAGGAGCUCCUGCUGCAUGGUGGGGGUUGGAAAGUUUCGGCGGUUGGGGAUGGACUCGCGGCUUAUCAGCUUGUUGGUGGGGUAGUGGCUUACCAAGGCUUUGACGGGUAGCCGGCCUGAGAGGGUGACCGGCGACAUUGGGACUGAGAUACGGCCCAGACUCCUACGGGAGGCAGCAGUGGGGAAUAUUGCACAAUGGGCGGAAGCCUGAUGCAGCAACGCCGCGUGCGGGAUGAAGGCCUUCGGGUUGUAAACCGCUUUCGCCUGUGACGAAGCGUGAGUGACGGUAAUGGGUAAAGAAGCACCGGCUAACUACGUG
rnacentral:rRNA from 1 species